GAUUUUUAUGAUACGAACACGAGAUUCUCGGUUUUGGAAGGCGACGUUGUUAGGAAAGCCACCUUGUGAAGACAGAUGUGAGUAACGUUACUACACAGUCAAAAGCAGACUGAAAACCUGCGGUGGGUGCCAUGCAGGAAUGAUCUAGAAGUGGUAAAGAUUAUCCCAGUGUCCACAUAGCUAAAGUCCCUUGGGAAAUCAUCCAAGCUCUCUCAACCAACUGGUUCACACAGACGGAGACGACAAUUUGGAACACUUCUUAUACAUGACGGUCUCCCUGAAAUAGCUAUUGAAUGCAGGGAGGUUUUGAAAGCUUUCUAUAAUCAUCUGCAGUUGAACUGAUGCUAUGCAGAGCUCCUGAAACUUCCAGAUGUGAUUCUAUAAUGACUGCCAACCUUUA